rnacentral:lncRNA from 1 species
UGCAUUGGCUUAUUAUUUCCAUACAAAGGAAUGACAACAGAUGACUCUACAUAUCUAACUAACAGCACCAUUUUCUCUUUCAUAAUUUGUCUUCCACAGCACCGCCACCACACCUGGCUACACUGAUUCCAAGUACAUUGUUUGCAAGAGGUGCCUACUUGAGCUUUUUGAAAAAUAUCCCAUUUGCAAACGGCCAUCUGAAGUAACACCAUGCGCAGCGGACGUGGUACAUUCUUGGCCGUUGACCAGAAAUGUCGUCACUGCGGGUUAUACAGAGAGUGGAAAAGUCAGCCUGUCAUUGGGAGCUGCCCCAUCAUCAACCUCCAACUGUCUGCUGCCAUAUAUUUCACGGACACUUAAUUUUUCCAGUUGCACAAGGUAUUCAAAGCCACGCACCUGAAAUCAAUUGGAUAUACCACAUUCAGAAGGCAUGCACGGACCUAUUUGGAGACAGAAGUGAUCCACAAAUGGCAUCAGUUUCAGGAAGAAUUGCAUUUUCUGAGCCAGAGAAAGUUUAAGUUGGCAGAGAUAUGAGGUAAACUAAGUAAGCUACUCACCAGGUAAACUUCCUCAUUUAAUUUCAAUACAUUUAGUAUUACUACACAAAAUAGCACGCUCAUAAACAUGUUCAAAAGCAGUGUGCUCAUUACAUCAUUUUGAUAUUUGCAGGUCAUUGUGCAAAGUACUGUAUGGCAGCUAUUCGUUGAUGAACCUUGAGAACAACAACAUAAUUGACGUACAACUUGUCCAGGUGAGUAGUUCCACAUAUGUCAGUUGAAGUGUUAUUCAUGCCACACAACACAUAGGACUCAUUGCUCUCUUUGUCACACAGACACACACAUACUCUUUUUUCUGCUCCCUCACUUACUGAAACACUCACUAGCUCUUUGUAUCUCUCUCUCUCUUUGACUUCUCCUCUCCCUCCCUCACACACACACAUACACACACACACACACACACACACACACACACACACACACACACACACACACACACACACACACACACACACACACACACACACACACACACCCUAUUCUUUUAUCAGACGAUGAACGUUUGAAAAUGAUUUUGUUGACAACCAUAUUGUCUCACUAAAUGGAUUUCUAGUUUACAAAUGAAUUGACCUUGUGUCAUACUGCACAUGGAUGUAAAAUAAACUAUGUCACUGUGUGGUUUCAUCACAUAAUACUUGGACGUAGUCACAAUAUGGAGAAGGAGGGUCUGAAAAGAAGCCUUGAACUUCUGGAGUCGAAGGGUGUGGCAGUGGACUACAUUGUCAAUGACCGCCAUCCCCAGAUACAAAUGUUUCUUCGGGAUCGCAAUGUAAAGCACUUCUAUGACAUCUGGCACCUUGAAAAGGGUAAUACUUGUCUUUGGAUUUGAUUCAAGAUAUAAUUACGCAAUCUAAUGUAAAAUUAGUAUACAUCAAAAAAGUAGACCAAUUAUAGGACAGAACAAGCAAAGGUGACAAAGGUGACAGACAUUUACCAGACGCCUUUAUCCAAAGCGACAUGGGCUUGCAGUGUGGUGAUUGAAUCCCGGUCUCCCAGAGGUCAGUUGGGUAUGCUAACCACUGCUCCAACAUGCCCACGUAUGGAGUUAUAUAACUUCUUCAUCAGAUUGAUUUUGACAGAUUUUAUUUG